rnacentral:rRNA from 1 species
UACAGAGGUCUCAAGCGUUGUUCGGAUUCAUUGGGCGUAAAGGGUGCGUAGGCGGCGCGGUAAGUCGGAUGUGAAAUCUCGGAGCUUAACUCCGAAACUGCAUUCGAUACUGCCGUGCUUGAGGACUGGAGAGGAGACUGGAAUUUACGGUGUAGCGGUGAAAUGCGCAGAUAUCAGGAGGAACACCGGUGGCGAAGGCGGGUCUCUGGGCCGAUACUGACGCUGAGGAGCGAAAGCGUGGGGAGCGAACAGG